rnacentral:rRNA from 1 species
GACGUAGGGCGCGAGCGUUGUCCGGAUUUAUUGGGCGUAAAGAGCUCGUAGGCGGUUUGUCACGUCGGAUGUGAAACCCCGGGGCUUAACUCCGGGCCUGCAUUCGAUACGGGCUGACUAGAGUUCGGCAGGGGAGACUGGAAUUCCUGGUGUAGCGGUGAAAUGCGCAGAUAUCAGGAGGAACACCGGUGGCGAAGGCGGGUCUCUGGGCCGAUACUGACGCUGAGGAGCGAAAGCGUGGGGAGCGAACAGG